UCUGCCUGUUAGGAAGGUCUCUGCCUCAGGAGUUUGGGGAGUGGGGGAGAAGGGAGGAAGAAGUGUCUCUUAUGGAUGGUUUAUGUUCCCUUUGCUUUGGGAUAUGACCCUUCCUAAAGUUCCCUCCAGCAACUAGUUCUGGCAUGGUGGGACCCACAACAAGGCAAUGAACAAUUCCCCUUCAACAGCCAUUCUGCCCCCCCUUCCCGUCUUCUGUCUUAGUGGUGGUAAUGGGGAGGAGAAGAAACAAUUGGGACUUCUAUACAGAUAUAGAAUUGAUUAACUCUAUGAGCCCUCCCAGACCACUCAGUCCACCGGGGUCAAGUUUCCACCACACACUCACUCAGGAAGGUGCGGCUACUCCCCCAGCCCUGUCAGGAGAGGGAACAGGGCAACUCCCUAGGCCCAGCGGAGAGAAAGGGGAGGGAUCAUGCCGGGAGCGAGCCUGCGCUGCUCAGCAAGCCCGAUCAGGGGCUGGCCUGGUGUUGGGGGCCCAGGCUGAAGCGGUUCGGAGGGUGGCACGGGCAGGGCUGAUCCACACCUGCCCUACCGUCCAGAUUCCUAAACGGAGAGCCCAGAGGGUGGCAGUAUUCCCUGUAGGCAGCUUGGCUUCAGUCCCGCAGCGAACAAGAGGAGGGGGCAGCACUCGUUCCUAAAGGCAGCCUCACUUCAUUCCGCAGAGCUGCAUGGAAACGGAUGUCGUUUUAACCGAAGGCGGAGACUUUCACUUUGUACUAUUGUCCUACUAUAAAUGCCCUUUUUGCUUCACAAGUGUGCAUGGAAGAGGAAGUCAUUCAAAAGCACGUUGUAUACUUAAUAGUGGAUUAAACUACUCCCCCAAUAAUUCUUCAGAGGUUUCAUGAAAAGUAUUAUUGUCCCAUUGUACAUAUGGAAAACUGAGCCAGAGAGAGAUGUCCCAGGCCACGGAGGAGUGUUACAACUGGAACUUCAACUCAGUGAUUCUUGUAUCCCAGCUCUGCGCUCACUAGACAAUUGACCAGAUUCUCUUCUGUGUCCAUUUUAUACUGGGUGCAGCAGAGAAAGGAGAGAUUAUCAAGGAACUGGUUACAACUCUCUUAUUCUCUGCACAAUUUAGAGCACUUGUGGCUGUUCCAAACUGCACCGGCUGUCUUUGAUCUUUUGAAGUGCUUUCCACUCCAACCACUCCACCUCAACUGGCAGGCCUCUCCAUGCCUCCGACAUCCACUAUAGCAAGAGCUGCAGGGUGAAAAUGUAGAAGGCUCCGAUGGCUCUAUAUCUGCUGGGAAUCCCUUAUACUGGGAGUAUUUCCACCUGGAGUGAUCUUGAAGAUUCAUCUACCUUUACGCCUCUUGAACCGUGCAAAGGAAGCAGAGUGGACCAAAGCAUGUAGAUCAUUGCCUCUGUGUAAAUUGCAAGCUCAGCAUAACUUGAUAGUAAAAACUGAGGCCUGCCAUUCUUGCAGUUUUUCCAGUACUACCACACUGCGAAGUACACAUGAGGCAGUCUUACACUAUUUCCAAUAAAGAAAUACUUAGAAUUCUGCAAGGAGGGCAGUUUUAGAGUAUUCACGUUAUCCAAGGGUAUUGCCAUGUUUGUUCAUCACCAUUUAUUCUGAGAGAACUGCAUAUGAUUAUGACUGAUGGAAAGGAAAAAUCCCAGUGGGCUGAAAUGUUGGGUCUUUGUUAGUAUUGGGGUGACAAAUUAUUUAGGUCAUUUUUUAAAAUCUGCCAACCACAAAUUGUUCAGUGUAUGUGCAAAACUUAAAAUAAUAAGUAAAUAACGUACAAAUUGUCUCCAUGCCAACAAAGAACAAUCUUAGAUAUCAGUUCUAAAAUACAUUUCAGCACCCACUCCCUCCCCAGUAAAAUCUGGGUAAAGUCUUGCAGCAUACUCUGAAGGUCCUCAAAUCUGGACUCAAGCAAACUGUGUGGGAAAGUGAAUUCCAGAGUCAAGGGCCCCACAUCAAGAGCAACUACUGCUUUGGGUCUUGGCUGUUCACAACUGCUACAGAAUCAUGUAAGGAGAGCAGCAGUGACACAGGUAGCUAUAGUCAAUUUCACUUAAGGAUUUACAGGUUAGAACCAAUGCCUUAUAAUCCACCUAUAAAUCAGUCAGUAGCCAGUGUACAGGAGUAAUGCAGUACUGAUUAAUAAAUGGGCAGUCACAAUCUGCAUUAGCUAAUUUCUGGAUGUUUGAAGAUAUAGCCUCUUGUACAGCACAUUACAAUAAUCCAACUUUAAGAUGAAAAAGGCAUGGACGACCCUAUGAAGAUCUGUAUCUAAAAUGAAAGGUCACAACCUUUUUGCAAAGAGGAAACAAUAAAAAGCAUUAUUGGGAAACACUGCUACUUGAACUUCCAACAAAAACCCUUAGGUUGCAAGCCUGUGUAACAAACAGCAGGUAUACCCAUUCAGUGAGUGUUAGCCUGCGUACACUCCUCCAAAGCUAUUAGAUACUAGCCGAGUCACUCAAUUACACCAGCUGGUCAGAAAAGAUAAUGCUAUAAAGCUGUAUUUUAUCUGCAUAUUGGAGUCCAUGUUGCCUCACUAGCCCUUUUAAAGAGGGAUGGGAAAUACUCCAGUAGAUUUGUCCUUGAAAAUAUUGAUCCUGCUGGGAGAUGCUUAUAUGAGGGAGCUAGAAUUUGAAGCAAAGAAGCUCUAGAUUCUGGUCUCAGUGUCCUGAGAUAAGGAUCCUAGAUGCAGCCAAGCACAAGGAGAUGGCUUGAGAUGAACUAUGUUAUCUCUUUGUUAAUAAAAUCAGAUCACAGGAUGGGAAUGAAAUGUGACUCCACACAGCAUGUAGACUGUCUUUUAAAACAUUGGGGAAGUCAUCUCUUCACAUUCCGCUAAUGGUCCCAUGCAUAUAUUGAUCAGAAGGGAUGACAGACUAGCACCUGGCCUUUUAAUGGUUCUGUUUGUUUCUUUCAGAGAGUGCCAAAAGGGGGUAAUAACUUCAGAUAAAUUCCAGAUCAGAUAGCUUCUUAGGAGGAUGCAGUGGUGUCUCUCAAUGAGAUAGUAUAGAUGCUUGGUGGAGAAAGAUACAGCUAAACCAGGAGCCACACAUCAGGAAUCUUGACUUUAAUGUUUUUAAGGUGUCUGAGGAAAUGUCAAUGAAAAGACAAGAGAGUGAGAUAGAACAGGAGGAAAGAAACACUGGGGCAGAAAAUAACACAACAAGGGAAGGAAAUACAUGCCUUUGUGGUGCUGCUAAUUAGAUAUCCCCACUGCUGAACUGAGGACUGGAUGUCAUGAUAAUGUGAUGACUUUCAGCACUCACAGGUGAAAACAAAGUUCCUUAAACAAGAGCAAGGCCAGAGAGCCUUCCUCUCAGGAAGAAAGUCCUUUAGAUAAGUCAAGAUGCGUUGCAGUGUUGGUAGGUUGGGGGAUGAGCGGGGGGGAUGUAAGGUGGGAUGAAAGGGAGAGCUGAACUGAACUGAUUAUUUUUCAAAGUCUCUUUUUAGGAAACUCCAAAAGGGAGAAAGUGGGUGCCAUAGUUCAUCCCCCUCACUAUUUUGUUCACCAACUAGGCCUAAUAUCUGUCACAUUAAUUUUAGUCUAUUAACUUCUGGUUCUAUAUAAUCUGUUUUCACCAAGCAUAAUGCCAACAGUACUUGUUGUAUAUCAACAUGGCCUUUUUGGUUUAGACUCAUCCAGCUUCUUUGCCUGCUUCUCUUGCACUUGUUAAACAUUCAGUGUCGUAAAUUAUUUGACCUAUUUUUCAUGGUUAUUGUAACAUCUAAUGAAUUUUUAUAUACACUAUACAUUUGAGCUCACAAUAGAUGUACACUUUGUGGGCCCAAUAGUCACAAUAGACCAUCCCUCUUGUCUACAUUGAACAGAUGUAGACAGUGAAGGGGGGCAGUAGUACUUCUGAUGUCUUGGUACUCCAGGAAACUGGUAGGGCUGUGCCCCAUGGAAGAAAAUCUGUCCUGGAUUUUCACCCCAGCUCUUUGAGGACAGUGAUUACUGAGAUCACUCCUUCCCUUAGUGUGCAUCCAUUUUGAAGUAAUUUACCCAGUGGUCUACAGGAUUAUGCUAAGAACCUUUUCCCAUGGAGAGUCAGUCCUUUCCCUUUAUGAAAAAUGAAUUGAUAGGUUCUUUUGUUUCAUGUAUUUCUUUAUUUUAGAUUUAAAACUUGAUUUCCAAAUUACAAAAAAUAAUUCAAAAUAUCAAAUUUUCUUUAAUUGUUUUGCUGUCUAGAAUUACCUAAUAUUUUCAGUAUUGUUUAUAUUUUCAUAUAUAAACUACAUAUUACAAUAUUUCCAUUUACAUAAUGUAAAAUUAUUUACAUAUCUCUCAAAAUUCCUCACUGAAUCUCUGAAUCUCUUUCUACACAAUCUAAAUAGUCAGUCUAACUCAUACAUAACAUUAGUUUAAUAAGGAAAAAAACUAAUUGUGUAAUAAAAUUUUGAGUCUCCUUAUUUAGCUCAUUUUAUCUGCUUAUUAAACAUGUUCAGUGCUUAACAUUAUUAACAAAUGUAUUACUUCCAGAUAUAAUCAAGGAAGGGUAUGGAUACAAGCUAUAUAAAUAAGACAUUAACAUAGCUGGAAAUAGCUGCUUUCUAUAUAAAUGUUUGUUGGACAGAUAAGAGAUUUACUUCAAUGUUACAGAAACACUCACAUUUUUCAAGCUACUUUUCAAAUUAUCCUUAUUAUUAACAGAAAAACUUGUUAGUGUUUUGACUGUUGACUUAUCUAUAGUUGGCAGAAAGCCAUAGAAAGAAAAUACACAACAGACUAUUAGCAUUUCUACCCCUCAUUAAAAGGUUUAAAAGGGAAAAAAAAUCUAUAGACUAAACCUAAAAAUGUAGUAAUACUUUUCUCCUAAACCAACCAAAUGUGGGAGAAAAUGCUCCUACAAUAGGAGCAACUCUCAGAUAUUGAAUAGCAGCUUCUAGGGGCCUAUUUAGAAGACUUUUGUGUGAUUACUAUGCUGAACAAAAUGUGGAAUUUAAGCUGUUGUUAAAUGCAGAUAAAGGUCAGAGAGCAGGAUCUCCACAAACUGUGAUUUGCAAUAUUUCUAACUUCCUUUAUCCACAGAAGGAAUGUGCAGUGCUAAAACUAGGCAGAAUCAAUGCAAAAUAAGGUAUUCCUGGCAACCAUGAGGUAUUUACUGCUGUUAACAAAGAGCAGCAUACAAAUGUGUUCGAAACUCAGACACAGACAACUGUUGGAAAAGAAUCCCAGAAUAGUAUUCAUUUUACGUCAACUUGCUAGUGAAAGGGAUAUAAUCUGUCAUUUUUAUUUAGGAAGUUUCUUUCUCACUGCUGCUGCAGCUUUUUCUCAUCCGUUCAUGUUUAGCGUGUAUAAACAGUUUGGUUAAUCAAAACCACUCACAGACCUAAAUAAUGUUACAGACCUAAAUAAUGUUACAGACCCUAUGCUUUCUACAUGUUAACAGACCUGUCCCAUUAACUCCUAUUAUGUCUCAGAAAAUGUAUGUAGGCAUUCUUUAUCUAAAUCAGCAGCAAAACAGAGUGAGUGGCAAUACAAUUACAUAUUUACCAGACUAUAUUAAAAGUGCACAUAUUAAUUAUGUUUUCUGUGAGAUGUAUAUGCUAACUGUAUAGGUGCAUAUACCCUGACAUGAAUUACAGAAUUGUUCACAUUUUUCUAGUUUCCAAAUGCAGCUAUUGCUAUCCUACACAUACUCUUCAGUUUUCAGUGAAAAUCUAGUAUUAUAUACAGUGUUUGAGGCUGGAAUGAUUUCUGGUAUUGGGAUUGAUCCUGCAACUUUCACUCAAGUGAGUAAGCCAAAUGUAUGAAAUUAGUUCUAUUAGAACUUUCAUGUGAAUAAGAAAGUUGCAGAUUUUUCACCCAUAUUUAUCAUUUGCCUAAUUCUCCUUGAGUUUACAUGACUUGACCCUUCGGCCAUUCUUUUCAGUGUUGAUUUUAACUCUCAAAACUGUAUACUUGACUAAUUGGCAACUGAAUAUCAAACUUGUCUAAUGGGUAUUGAUAGUCUCUGUAAACAUGUACAAGAGUAAGCGAUACACCCUGUGACGUUCAUCAUAACACACCCAGACAUAACUGGUUUGUAUUGCAGCAUUGUAUAAAGAUUCUAUGUAUGACAGGUAUACGGUAGUUGGUCAGCCAUAUUGGGGCAUGUCAUAAAUAUAAAGGAAAGGGUAAACACCUUUAACUCCCUCCUGGCCAGAGGAAAAACCCUUUCACCUGUAAAGGGUUAAGAAGCUAAG